rfam:Archaeon GW2011_AR21 QT12_C0030, whole genome shotgun sequence.
GCCUCUGUGGCGCAGUAGUAGCGCAAUUGAUUGGUAAUCAAUAGGUCGCGAGUGCGAGUCUCGCCAGAGGCU